rnacentral:lncRNA from 1 species
CUGUGGUCAACCCAUACAUGAGCUUGAAAACUUGUUCCCAAGCAAGCUUUGAAGCCACUGGGUCGAACUGGUGAGCUUCUACUUCUGUUCCAAUGGCCAUGAUUGCAUAGAGAGCUAUGUUCUUGGGGUCGGCUGGGAGAAGGUUGGUUCCUUGGUCUUGGUAUCGGUGAGCUAUGUACUGAGUAAUUGCUCGUGAUUCUGUUACAAAAGAACAUGUUAGUGAUUUUUUCUUCUUUUGUAUAUUGUCAAAUCAGAUUUGAGAUUGAAGAUGACACGAAAACAUCCAUACCGAAGAGCUUGAGGUCUCCAUCUUCAAAGGCUGGAACUUUACCAAAAGGCUGCAGUAACAAAUCAAACACAACAUUCAAGAUUCAGACCAGAUUUAUCCAAAUAGUUGGUCUUUUCAUAUAGAAACACAAAGAUAGAUAAAGAUAGAUAGAAGUGCUUACGUUG